GUGCUUGCUUCAGCAGUAUAUAUCCUAAAAUUGGAACUAUGCAGAGAAGAUAGCAUGUCCCCUGCUCAAGGAUGACACACAAAAAACAAAGAAUAGUCAAGUUGCC